AUCUCAAAUCAAGUAAGACUACCCGCUGAACUUAAGCAUAUCAAUAAGCGGAGGAAAAGAAACUAACAAGGAUUCCCCUAGUAACGGCGAGUGAAGCGGGAUGAGCUCAAAUUUAAAAUCUGGCUGGUUUACUAGUCCGAAUUGUAGUUUAAAGAAGCGUUUUCGGUGGCAGCCUGGGUAUAAAUCCUUUGGAACAGGGUAUCAUAGAGGGUGAGAAUCCCGUCUUUGACUCAGUGCAUGCUACUAUGUGAUACGUUUUCAAAGAGUCGAGUUGUUUGGGAAUGCAGCUCAAAAUGGGUGGUAAAUUUCAUCUAAGGCUAAAUAUUGGCGAGAGACCGAUAGCGAACAAGUACCGUGAGGGAAAGAUGAAAAGAACUUUGAAAAGAGAGUUAAACAGUGCGUGAAAUUGUUGAAAGGGAAACGCUUGACACCAGUCAUGCGAGCGGAAAAUCAGUCUUUUGCAGUGGGGAGUUGUGUGGGUUCGGACCGCAAGGCCGGCCUGUGCUGCAUCUCUGCUGUAAGUGAUGCACUUUUUCGUUUGCAGGCCAACAUCAGUUUCUUCUGCUGGACAAAACUCUUGAGAAGGUAGCAGCUUUGGCUGUGUUAUAGCUCUUGAGCGAUACAGUGGAGGGGACUGAGGUUUUCGCAGCGCGUGCUCUCGGGCAAGGCUGAUUGGGUGCUAUGGGAUCGUUCGGUGUACAAUGCAUGCAUUUUGCGCCGUGUCUUUUCUAUACUCGCUCAACUCGGCUNUCCGNG
rnacentral:rRNA from 1 species